UCAAACUUGGUCAUUUAGAGGAAGUAAAAGUCGUAACAAGGUUUCCGUAGGUGAACCUGCGGAAGGAUCAUUAAAGAGUCCCCGGCGGGCGCCGGUGCGCCCCGCUCUGGCCACAAGGCCAUGCAGCGGGGGGUUCCCCCGUCCUGCUGCAACCCUUUGCAAACCCACGUGCACAUUCACGGCAAGAGGGCUGUCGCCCGAAAGCCGCUUCACAAAAACGCCAGCGUCGAAUGAAUGUGAUGCGGCCUCUGUGUCGCCUAUGGAAGCAGAACAACUUUCAACAACGGAUCUCUUGGCUCUCGCAUCGAUGAAGAACGCAGC
rnacentral:misc_RNA from 1 species